AAAAAAAAAAAAAGCCUGGGCAUGGUGGUUCACACCUAUAAUCCCAGCAUUUUGGGAGGCCAAGGCAGGAGGACUGCUUGAGGCCUACAGUUUGAUACCAGACUACAGCAUAGCAAGACCCUGUCUUUACAAACUAAAAAUUUUUAAAAUUAGCCAAGCAUGCUGACACACACCUGUAGUCCCAGCUACGUGAGACACUGCUGCUUGGGAGGUGGGAGGAUACCUUGAGCCCAAGAGGAGGCUGCAGUGAGCUAUCAUCGCACCACUGCCCUCCGGCCUGGGCAACAGAGCGAGAAUCUGUCUCUUAAAAAAAAAAAUUAAAAUGUGCCAUGGAUUUGAAUAAGCAUUGCUUCAAAGCAGAUCUACGGUUACAGUAAAAAAGAUGGACAAUCAUGAGUACUGUUCUGUGGUGUUGAAAGUCUGCAGCCCUCAGACACUGCUCACAAGAACGAAAAAUGCUGCAGCUGCUGUGGAAAGAGUCUGGCAGUUCCUUAAAAAGUCAGAAUUAUCACGUGACCCAGCAACUCCACAAGCAGGUCUACACCCAAGAGAGCUGAAGACACAUCGUGACCCAGCAAUUCCACAAGCAGGUCUACACCCGAGACAGCUGCAGACACAGGUUCACACAGCAACUCCACAAGCAGGUCUACACCCAAGAGAGCUGGAGACACAUGUUCACACAGCAACUCCACAAGCAGGUCUACACCCAAGAGAGCUGGAGACACAGGUUCACACAGCAACUCCACAAGCAGGUCUACACCCGAGAGAGCUGGAGACACAUGUUCACACAGCAACUCCACAAGCAGGUCUACACCCAAGAGAGCUGAAGACACAUCGUGACCCAGCAAUUCCACAAGCAGGUCUACACCCGAGACAGCUGCAGACACAGGUUCACACAGCAACUCCACAAGCAGGUCUACACCCAAGAGAGCUGGAGACACAUGUUCACACAGCAACUCCACAAGCAGGUCUACACCCAAGAGAGCUGCAGACACAUCGUGACCCAGCAAUUCCACAAGCAGGUCUACACCCGAGACAGCUGCAGACACAGGUUCACACAGCAACUCCACAAGCAGGUCUACACCCAAGAGAGCUAGAGACACAUGUUCACACAGCAACUCCACAAGCAGGUCUACACCCAAGAGAGCUGAAGACACAUCGCGACCCAGCAAUUCCACAAGCAGGUCUACACCCGAGACAGCUGCAGACACAGGUUCACACAGCAACUCCACAAGCAGGUCUACACCCAAGAGAGCUGGAGACACAUGUUCACACAGCAACUCCACAAGCAGGUCUACACCCAAGAGAGCUGCAGACACAUCGUGACCCAGCAAUUCCACAAGCAGGUCUACACCCGAGACAGCUGCAGACACAGGUUCACACAGCAACUCCACAAGCAGGUCUACACCCAAGAGAGCUGGAGACACAGGUUCACACAGCAAUUCCACAAGCAGGUCUACACUCAAGAGAGCUGGAGACACAGGUUCACACAGCAAUUCCACAAGCAGGUCUACACCCGAGAGAGCUGGAGACACAUCGUGACCCAGCAACUCCACAAGCAGGUCUACACCCGAGAGAGCUGAAGACACAUGUUCACACAGCAACCCCACAAGCAGGUCUACACCCGAGAGAGCUGGAGACACAUGUUCACACAGCAAC
rnacentral:lncRNA from 1 species